rnacentral:rRNA from 1 species
UUAUAGUUGCGCAGGCACUUUGGUGACUCUGGAGAACCUCGGGCCAAUCGCACAUCCCCGUGACGGCGACAACGCCUUCGGAUGUCUGCCCUAUCAACUUUCGAUGGACUUUCUGCGCCUACCAUGGUGACCAUGAGUAAUAGGGAACCAGGGUUCGAUUCCGGAGAGGGAGCCUGAGAAACGACUACCACAUCCAAGGAAGGCAGCAGGCGCGCAAAUUACCCAUUCCCGACGCGGGGAGGUAGUGAUGA